AGGCCUCGCGACGCGCUACGUAGCCGGAAGCGGGUGGCGGCGGGGUGGGCGGCCGGCGAGCAUCUUCGGUGCAGUUCGCGGCGCCGCCGACCCCAGCCCGGACCCCCGCCCGGACCCCCGCCCGGACCCCCGCCCGACGGGCGCGCAGGAUCGAGCCCUGCCAGCACCAUGGCCAGCCCGAGAACCAGGAAGGUUCUUAAGGAGAUUCGGGUGCAAGAUGGAAACAACGUGUGUUUCGAGUGCGGCGCCUUUAACCCUCAGUGGGUGAGCGUGAGCUACGGCAUCUGGAUCUGCCUGGAGUGCUCGGGGAGGCACCGCGGGCUCGGGGUGCACCUCAGCUUCGUCCGUUCUGUCACCAUGGACAAGUGGAAGGACGCGGAGCUGGAGAAGAUGAAAGCGGGCGGGAACGCCAAGUUCCAGGAGUUCCUGGAGUCCCAGGAGGACUACGACCCCGGCUGGUCCCUGCAGGAGAAGUACAACAGCAAGGCCGCCGCCCUGUUUCGGGACAAGGUGGCCACUGUGGCCGAAGGCGGAGAAUGGUCCCUGGAGUCCUCGCCCGCCCGGAACUGGACCCCGCCUCGGCCCAAGAUGCUGCCAACCUGUGCCCACGGGGCCACUGGCCGGCCACAGAACUCCACCGCCAGCUCCGACAAGGCUUUCGAGGACUGGCUGAACGAUGAUCUUGGCUCCUAUCAAGGGGCGCCGGAGAACCGCUACGUGGGGUUUGGGAACACGGUGCCGCCUCAGAAGAAGGAAGAUGACUUUCUCAACAGCGCCAUGUCGUCCUUGUACUCGGGCUGGAGCAGCUUCACCACCGGCGCCAGCAGGUUUGCCUCAGCCGCUAAGGAGGGCGCUACGAAGUUUGGAUCCCAGGCAAGUCAGAAGGUAACCCAGGGAGCCGCUGUUGAGAGUGCUAGGCUGGUCCCUUUCUCCUGUGCCCAGGGAGGGGGCACCCGCACACAAAUUUGCCCCAUCGCCCAUCAGCCCAAGUCACUUGAGGUGCCUGCGGGAUUUAGCAGGUGGAGUCGGCUGCACCUGGGCCGUGGGGCCGAAGUCCUCACUGUCCCUGGCAGCCGGGCACUCUGGGCCGCUGUGCCCUUGGCUUUGGGACAGAGGGCCUGUGUCCUGCCGAGGCAGCAUCUUUCUGUCCCUGGUCAGCACCCUCCCUUCUUGUGGGCAGUGUCCUGGGCCCUGGCAUUGGUCUUGCUCCCGGUCUUGGUUAGCAGCUGUGCCAGGUCUUGUGUGGUGCCAGGCCUCCAGCACCAGGUCAGGACUCAGGAGGUCGCGGCCAUGGAGGCUGUCCCUGGAGCCUCAGGGCCACACGGGCCCCCUCACACCCUGAGGGGUGGCAUGACGUGUCCCAGCCCCACUCAGGGGCCAUCUCUGAGCCCCCAUCUUGGGUGCCUGAGCCGCUGGCACACGUGGUCCUGGGAAGCGCGGAGUUGGGGGUGGGGACGCCCACCGGGCCCUGUUGGGGACACGACCUGGUUGUUGCCAAACUGCUGCUCCUACCGCCUCGUUCUCUCUCUCGCCUUCUCCCCGCCUCGCCACGCUGCCUGGGUAAAGUUCUGGGGUUCCAAGCAGCAGCCGGAGCCGGUAAGCCGCAUCUGUUCUCACGCACGCCCCCUGGUCUGUCUGGGCAUGUGCCCUGCUCUGAGCUGUCGUUCUGCGGCCUGUGUGUCGGGGCUUCCGUGUGCUUGCGCUGAGAGCUGCCCACCAGCCUGCCUGGCCCUGCCUGGCCCAUCCCCAGAGCUCGGGCAUCCACGUCACAGGCUGGAGGCGUGGGAUCUGGCACCUGCGGCUGCCGUGACAGGGCCGGGGGUGGGGCCUGCAGGUCCUUGGCGGCAUUUUCCUCUUUUAGUUUAAUCACCUUCUGCCGAAUAAGCGAGAGGAGUCCUGUCCCGCACGAGUGGACUCCCCACCAGCCUGCCUGACCUGACCUGGGCUCGCCCCCCUGCCCCCCUGCUCCAUCCCUUCUGUCUGCGCUCCUGCGUAGUUGGCCUUGUUGUCAGCACAGGGGUGGCCUCGCGGGAUGGGGUGUGUGUGGUCCCUGUGGCGGGGAGGGACUCCAAGGGCCUGGGCCCAUCCCAGAGCGUCUGGGUCCGGGCCGGCGUCUCCCGCCUCCCCGCAGCCUGGGCCCCAGGUGCUGGUGGGCUGCUCGCCCUCCGCUGCUUCCCGCUGGGCAGAGCUCUUGGCUGCCGCGCCUGCCCCGUGUCCUGGGACACGUGCUCCCGAGCUUGCGGGACUCUCAUCACGCCUUUCUCUCCGACAGGCGUCCGAGUUGGGCCACAGUCUGAACGAGAGCGUCCUCAAGCCGGCCCAGGAGAAGGUGAAGGAGGGAAAGAUCUUUGACGAUGUGACCAGUGGGGUCUCUCAGUUGGCGUCCAAGGUCCAGGGAGCGGGCAGCAGGGGAUGGCGGGACGUCACCACCUUUUUUUCUGGGAGAACUGAGGACUCCUCGGACAGACCCCCGGAAGGCCAGAGUCACCAGAACAGCGGUGGGGACCACUCCCAGAGCAGCCCCUUCGACCCGGGCUUCUGGGAGGCCUUCGGAAGCGCCGACCCUGCCAAGGCCCACAGGUCCCCGAGCAGCGACAGCUGGACGUGCGCGGACGCCUCUGCCGACAGGAGGAGCUCGGACAGCUGGGAUGUGUGGGGCUCGGGCUCCGCAUCCAACAACAAGAACAGCGACAGCGGCGACGGCGGGGAGGCCUGGGGGGGCGGCGGGGAGGGCAGGGCCAAGGUCACCAAGAAGGCAGCGCCGCCCCCCGCGGUGGACGAGGGCUGGGACAACCAGGACUGGUAGGGCCCCCGCCGCUGGUGCUGCGGCCGCUCUGCCUCCUCGUUCCUUCCGUUUGACCCCAAAAAUGCCAGUCGCCAUGGGAAGACACCUCGGCCGGGACCCUGGGGCCGUGUGCCUGCCCGUGCGGGGGGCUCGCUCCCGUCCCUGGGGCCCGGGGUCUGCCAAGGGCAGGGCUCCCUGCUGCUGUGGGGGGCCGGCCACACUGUCAUGCCCCCAGCGACUCAGUAAUAAACGCCUUGCCUGGUGGCGCACACGGCCACACAGUGACGGUGGCUGCA